rnacentral:rRNA from 1 species
AUUGAACGCUGGCGGCAGGCCUAACACAUGCAAGUCGAACGAGUGGCGGACGGGUGAGUAAUGUCUGGUAAACUGCCCGAUGGAGGGGGAUAACUACUGGAAAAGGUAGCUAAUACCGCAUACCAUCGGAUGUGCCCAGAUGGGAUUGGCUAGUAGGUGGGGUAAAGGCUCACCUAGGCGACGAUCGCUAGCUGGUCUGAGAGGAUGACCAGCCAAACUGGAACGGGGACACGGCCCAGACUCCUACGGGAGGAAGCAGUGGGGAAUAUUGCACAAUGGGGGCAAGCCUGAUGAAGCCAUGCCGCGGGUAUGAAGAAGGCCUUCGGGUUGUAAAGUACGUUCAGCGGGGAGGCGUUACCCGCAGAAGAAGCACCGGCUAACUCCGUGCCAGCAGCCGCGGUAAUAC